UGGAUUGCGAUACACCUUCCCCAGACCCUGUGACCUACCUAUUACUUAAUUUGGAGUCACAACUAAGAGUGUGCCUCGAGUCUCAGAAGAGACUUCAGACUUUGGAUUUUUGAACAUUGCUGAGACUGUUAAAGAGGAAAAGAACUUUCAAAAUUAGACUGGAUACAUUUUGCAUCAAGAGAUGGCCACGAGUCUGUGAGGGACAGAGGACCUCGAAUCCACUCCAGUUAAAACAAGGAGCCCUAAGGCCAGCUUCAUGGGACUCAAACCCUGUGGGUCUAUCAGGAUGUCAGCACGCUGCUUAGAAAAGACGGAGGGUCCCACCUAGAGUCUUGUAACCCGGCUGCUGCUCAGCCAGCAAGCUUCUCACUCGUGACACACACGUCGCACUUGGUCAAGAAUUGCUUAUUAAAUCGAAUUAAAUAGUUUUCAACCGCCGGCUGUUCUUCAGUGCAGAAAUCAGCAUCAGUUGUCACUUGCUGGUGAUUGCUCUUCGUGAUAAACCAGACAUUUCUGGUCACUGGUAUAAAUCACUAUCAGAGCCCAUCGCCUCCAAGUCAACCUGGGCUCCGUGCAGCCAUGAUACGGUGACUUCCACGUCACCGUUGAGUUUUUACUCUGGACAUGUGGUGAGAUGACCGUAUUCAUGGCCCCACCCCUUCAUCCCUGUGCUUUGUCACUUUGCAGUGUCCUGUCAAUGGGACCGUGGCCUAAAUCAAGUGGCUUGCUUUGACCAAUAGACUUGCUGGGAGAAGCCAGGGCAAAGGUUUAAAAGCAUCCUGGCACAUUUCUGUUUCUUGAAAGGCCCCCGCCAGCACCAUAAAAACAGUUCUAGGCAAGUCUACCAAACAACGGACACUCAUGGCACAGCCUAUCUUGUCAGUCUUGUCAAUCUUGUUACACACCAGUCAAAUAUCAGACACAUGAGACCAAGCAGUAGAAGAAGCAGUUGAGGGAGCAAAGCUAUAAACUCGGCCUACACAGUCCCUGAGCCCUUGCUGUCUUAGGCCGGGGAGGGUUCCUUUCCUCCCUCCUUUCCCCAGCCUACAGACAUAUAAGAUAGUACCAACCUUCAAACGAUUUGCCAUGGUUUCCUCAUCAUUUGGUGUGGCGAUAUGUGACUGAUAGAGGAUACACACUGCAUUUUACAAUGGCCCAGUGGUUAACUAGAGGAAGUCCUAAUUGGCAGCAGAACCGUGAGCAUAAAAGUACAGCCUAGAUGUAGAUAGAACAAUGAACGCCAGAGGGAACACAAGUGAGGAAAUGACCAUAUUAUAGAUAUAAACUUGACAUUUUAUGAUAGAAAGUUGGAAAAGAUACAGUCAGACAAGAGGUCAGAACAUGUCAAACCCCAGGUGGCUGAAUGUGGAGAAGGAAUGGAAUUCCAGUGUGAGGGGGUGGCUGCCACGUAGGGGCCACUCUCAGCAGAGGUUCAGAAGAGCUGAUUAACUUGUAAAUGCAGGUACUUGUCUAACUGGGUCUCAGUUUCCUUGCUUCAAAAGAAGGGUAUAGACAGGAGGCGUUCUGAAGCCUUCCAUGUGCCCCAGAAUUUUAUUAUUUCAGUAUGCUAAUUUAUCCCUCUGCAAAAAUGAUUGUAAUGGCUAUGACGGGUCUAUCCACAACUGCUGCAAGUCAUGGGAAAGCAGAAUGUGCAGCAUACAGGGCAGCUGGAUGUGUGUGCAUCUGAGCUGGAGAGAGAUGUGGUUAAGGUUUGCAGAACACAUGCUCCCCUCCCCUUUUCCUGCAUCUCCCAGUUCUUCGGGGAGCACACUACAGAAGUGAGGCUCACCAUCCUCAUGUCAUCUGUGCUGAGGUACCCUUGGGCAGCACUGAGCAAUGAGAGCAUGGAAGACAAAGAGGACUCCACUUCCUGUCAAUUUCUCACACUGCCUGUGUAUAUUUCCCCUUUCCCCAGCAUACAAACAGAUAAGAUAGCAUUGACCUUUGAAAGAUUUGGGGUGUGGGGAGGGAGUGAAAAGAAAUGAACUUAAAGGAGCACAUUUGGCUAGGAGGGUAGUUAGCUUUGUGGGCAGCUGCCUUCUUAGCCUCAACUGCAAAGAUCCCCAGGAGAGUUCUCAUUUUUAUUGCUUUAUAGCAUCCGUGGCUGAUGGAAAGAACAUUAUAGACUUUCCUCAGCUACGUGCAUUGUUCCUGCUCUUUUCUGUAAAGGACAUUUAGUAGAGGCUUGUUUAUGCGGAUGUGAAAAGGGUUAGAAUUUCUUCAACUGUAUGUGUAACUCUUCCUCUAUUCAUUACAGCAUGAAUUUUUCAAAUGCCAUGCCUUUGGAAAAAAUAACAGCCUAUUUCCUCACA